rnacentral:rRNA from 1 species
CAGUCGCCACGGUAAUACGUAGGUGGCAAGCGUUGUCCGGAAUUAUUGGGCGUAAAGGGCUCGCAGGCGGUUUCUUAAGUCUGAUGUGAAAGCCCCCGGCUCAACCGGGGAGGGUCAUUGGAAACUGGGAAACUUGAGUGCAGAAGAGGAGAGUGGAAUUCCACGUGUAGCGGUGAAAUGCGUAGAGAUGUGGAGGAACACCAGCGGCGAAGGCGACUCUCUGGUCUGUAACUGACGCUGAGGAGCGAAAGCGUGGGGAGCGAACAGGAUUAGAUACCCCCGUAGUCCCUGUCUCUUAUAU